UAUUGUUUUCGCAAAUAACCCGAAAUAACCUCAUUCCCCCUCUCAAACGCGUGUAAUCCUAUUGUUCACCUCUGUCAACCUAUGUUCGCCGUCUCUCGUGCACGUCGCACCGCUGUAUGUUGUAUGUGGUAUACAGGUGACUACCUACUCUUUGCUGGUUGAGGACGUGCUGGAAGUAGUAUCCAAAGCAGUUGUUGUGCAUGUGAAGUUGCAGCUUUACGAAUUUAGAGGCUUUCUAAGGCAUGUUAGACUAAGAGGGACUGGUUUUGUGCACCAUUCAAAAAUUUGGGCCAUGCUCAUUAUCAACUGUUAUUGAGUGUGAGACAAUUGCUUCAACUACUGAAUUUAUUUUACUUGUAUACUGUUAUGAUUGACAAACUUGUUCUGGACAAUAAUAGGACCUCGUCAUAGGUUUUAAUUCACAUGGUUUGCAAAUUGAAUAUUUAAAAAAUUCAUGACUGGCCACCCUUUGAUUUGAAUGCAAGGGGAAAUGUACGAAACACUUUCCUUGUCUUGUGGCCACUUACGUGGGUGAAGGAACCUAAAAGCACCCACAAAAUGGUUAUUUUGAGAGAAAAAAAUAACGCUGUUGGACCUUAUGAUCCAAAUAAUGUGUACUAAGAUGAUAGUAUCAUUAUAACUACUUAAGUUUUGUGGCUAGCAAAUUAUACUUAA